ensembl:misc_RNA Metazoa_SRP Metazoan signal recognition particle RNA
GCCGGGCAUGGUGGCACGGGCCUGUAGUCCCAACUACUGGGGAGUCUGAAGCAGGAGGAUCACUUGAGCCCAGGAGUUCUGGGCUGUAAUGCGCUAUGCCAAUUGGGUGUCUGCACUAAGUUCAGCAUCAAUACGUUAAUCUCCCAGGAGCGGGGGACCACCAGGUUGCCUGAGGAGGGGGUGAACCAGCCCACCAGCCCAGGUCGGAAAUGGAGCAGGUCAAAACUCCUGUGCUGAUUAGUAGUGGGAUCACACCUGUGAAUAGCCACUGCACUCCAGCCUGGGCAAGACAGCGAGACCCGUCUCUU